GUGAAAGGCCAAUCAAACUCGGAGAUAGCUGGUUCUCCGCGAAAUCUAUUUAGGUAGAGCGUCAUCCGAAUACCCCGGGGGGUAGAGCACUGGAUGGGUAAUGGGGCCCCACAGGCUUACUGAUCCUAACCAAACUCCGAAUACCGAGGAGUACUAGAUGGCAGACACACUGCGGGUGCUAACGCCCGUAGUGGAGAGGGAAACAACCCUGACCUCCGGCUAAGGCCCCCAAUUCAUGGCUAAGUGGGAAAGCAGGUGAGACGACCAAAACAACCAG
rnacentral:rRNA from 1 species